rnacentral:misc_RNA from 1 species
GAUGAAGAACGCAGCGAAAUGCGAUAAGUAAUGUGAAUUGCAGAAUUCAGUGAAUCAUCGAAUCUUUGAACGCACAUUGCGCCCGCUAGUAUUCUGGCGGGCAUGCCUGUCCGAGCGUCAUUUCAACCCUCAAGCCCCCGGGCUUGGUGUUGGGGAUCGGCGAGCCUCCGCGCCCGCCGUCCCCUAAAUCUGGUGGCGGUCUCGCUGUAGUUUCCUCUGCGUAGUAGCACACCUCGCACUGGGAAACAGCGCGGCCACGCCGUUAAACCCCCAACUUCUGAACGUUUGACCUCGGAUCAGGUAGGAAUACCCGCUGAACUUAAGCAUAUCAAUAAGCGGAGGA